CACAUACGACCAUACCCAGCUGGAAUUACGGCAUCCCGUCCGCUCUUUGCGGUUCUCUUGUUCUAAAGAUUCCUCCUCGAUUGGGGGGACUUUGUGAAGUAUGGUUCACGGCUGGAGGAAAGAGAG
rnacentral:rRNA from 1 species